AAGUUCAAAUUUGAAACCUGAUGCAACCUAGACUAACUUUUCUUAAACAUCUCAGCAGCUUAUUGUUUGUCUUUUAUUGAUUUUAAAAUCUGUUCUAGUUUUAUUCUUUAGGUUCUAUUUGUUGUGCUUACCUUUAUUCACUAGCCUUGUUUCUUGUUUGUCAAUUGUUGGCUAUCUUGGUUUUGUCUUUCACGUGUGCAAUCUAUUCUGCCAUUCUUUAAUUGACCUUUUGUUGUUUUUGUAAUCUGUUCUAGAGUUAAUCUUGAGUCAGUUUCUCUGCUGUGCUGUCAGUUUUCCUUAUCUGGUGCUUACCUUGUUGUUAGCUGUUCUGUUUUGUCAUCCCUUAGCCAAGCCAUUUCCUGUUUGUGAAGCUGAUAUCACUUUGGUUUUUGGAAAUUGAAAGAGAGGUAUUUGUGAAUGGUAGCCUCUUAGGUGGAAGUGAUCCAC
rnacentral:lncRNA from 1 species